rnacentral:rRNA from 1 species
CUGCCCAAUGAGGAAUUCAAUGGCCGCGGUACUUUGACCGUGCAAAGGUAGCAUAAUCAUUAGUUUUUUAAUUGAAAGCUGGUAUGAAAGGUUGGAUGAGAAAAUAACUGUCUCUAUCUAAAUUAUUUAGAAUUUUAUUUUUAAGUAAAAAAGCUUAAAUUUUAAUAGAAGACGAGAAGACCCUAUAGAGUUUUAUAAAUUUUAGCCUUAGGAAGACUUUGGAAUUAAUAAAUUUUUAAGUUAAAAUUUAUUUAGUUGGGGUGAUUAAAAAAUUAAAUAAACUUUUUUUAUUUAUUUAAACAUUGAUUUAUGAGUAAUUGAUCCUUAUUUGAAGAUUAAAAGAAAAAAUUACCUUAGGGAUAACAGCGUAAUUUUUUUAAAGAGUUCAAAUCGAAAAAAAAGAUUGCGACCUCGAUGUUGGAUUAAAAUAAAAUUUUGGUGUAGGGGCUAAAAUAUUUGGGUCUGUUCGACCCUUAAAAUUUUACAUGAUCUGAGUUUAAACCGGUGU